ensembl:snRNA U6 U6 spliceosomal RNA
CUGCUUCGCAGCAGAUAUACUAAAAUUGGAACCAUACAGAGAAAAUUAGCAUGACCCCUGUGCAAGGAUGACAUGCAAAUUUGUGAAGCGCUCCAUAUUAAA